AUACGUAGGGUGCGAGCGUUGUCCGGAAUUACUGGGCGUAAAGGGCGCGUAGGCGGAGUCUUAAGCAGAGUGUGAAAACUAUGGGCUCAACCCAUAGCCUGCAUUCUGAACUGGGACCCUUGAGGGCAGGAGAGGAAAGUGGAAUUCCUAGUGUAGCGGUGAAAUGCGUAGAUAUUAGGAGGAACACCAGUGGCGAAGGCGACUUUCUGGACUGUAACUGACGCUGAGGCGCGAAAGCACGGGGAGCAAACAGGAUUAGAUACCCUGGUAGUCCGUGCCGUAAACGAUGAAUACUAGGUGUAGGGGGUAUCGACUCCCUCUGUGCCGCAGUUAACACAUUAAGUAUUCCACCUGGGGAGUACGGCCGCAAGGUUGAAACUCAAAUGAAUUGACGGGG
rnacentral:rRNA from 1 species